GCCUGAACCCGCCAUCAUGAUCACAAGAAAUGCAAGUUUUGCUUGUGCUGGUAUCCACCUGUCAUCAGCACCAAUCUCAGUGUCAUCGCUUGGAUAAACAGCAUCCCUGUUGAUUGGAGAGACUUCCGAUGUCUGUCGAGUUACGGAUCGCUUCUUCCCCUGACUAUAAAUAUCCUAUGUCCUCGUGUACACCCAUGCGAGUGUGGGUGUAUUCAAGAGGACCCCUUUUUCCUACCUCGCCUGGUGGAUUCAACUUUCCUGCGGAUUGAGAACUUGUGGAUGGAUGCCUGGUCGUAUUUCCCGGAAUGAAAGGUAGGACAAAUGUAUCUCUAUUCAUUUUUUGGGGGGAUUAUUUGGUGGCGUUGAUUAUCAAUCGUUACGUAGUCAGUCACAGAGUAUGUUUAUUCCUGAGCUAGUCGGUUCACUGUUUUCUCUUGCCGUUUUUGUUUACUCAGUAAUGGUUCAUUAAAUAACUCAAGUGUAGAACAACUGUAGAUCAGGCCUGUUUUUGUACCUCACAACUUUUUCUGUGGUUAAACCAUCACAUUCGAAAAUAUUUUGAACUUUUAAUACGUCAAGCAAAGUGCAACUAGAAUUUUUUUUUUACCAAGUGGGACCUGCCGCCACACUGGCACCUCCUCGUUAGAAAAUCCGGAGAAAUGUUUUAAUCUCGUUUUUUUUUAAAGUUAGAGUCAAGGAAGGAAGGGAGGAAAUUCUCGUGUUAAUAAAAAUGAAGGGAACAUAUGUCUUUAAAUUAAGUGAAAAUGAACAAAUACCGAUGCACUGCACAACACAAGUUCAGAUAUUCUGUGUAUUUUCACAGGCCUCCACCGCUAGAUCCCCUGACUGCAUUUUUUUUUUGCGUCAAAUAAUGCACUACAAAUAUAACAAAAACACCAAAGAGUUAUCUCUAGACGACAGGGAAGUUGACCACUCCACCAGAACCACUUUUUCCCUUUAGCUGCAGCAUUCCUGAAUCAAAUGUAGCUCUGGAAUCGGAACAAUAACCGCCGGCAUACUGCCAACCCCAGGCGGCCUAUUUCAGAUGCGAUGGAAUCUUGUUAACCAAAAAAUGCGGAAAUCUAAACCAAGACUUCCUUACCUGAUAUCCAUUUCCGUAGGCGUAAUUGUACAUUUGCUGAAUGGUCAUGCCUCCAGAACAAGAGGCAGAAAAUUCACCGAUCGUAACCGGCUUAUUCAAACCGUAUGCUGAAGCCACGACCUGUUACCGUUUCAGUCAGAACAGACACAAAUUUAGAGCCAGUUAUUAACCACGAUUAUGAUCAGUAUAGUCCAACCUUAAAAGGUGCAGAUGCACUAAAAGGUGUGUAAGUAUGAAUUUGGUAGAAAUCAAGUUUUCCUAAUGUUUUCCCUCCAGCUGCAAUCAGACAGGCAUCCGUAUAGUAAUUUCCUGGAGGUUUGAAAUGAAUUGUUGAUUAUAUUUAAUCUGUUGAUAUACAAAUUUGACUGUAUGAAACAAACUUGUAUCAGAGAAAACGUCGGUUUGACUGUACUGGGACCAAGUACCGACUGUAACUAAAGCUCCUGGAUCAGCUGCUUUAAUUGCUGCCGCCUGCCAGUUAAUAAAUAACUGGAUUCUGUUGAAAAAUUAAUCAUUCUUUCACGAAACGAGCCGGAAUUCAAAUUAAUUUUUUAAAAUUAGCAAUACUGAUUCAUCGGAAUCCAUUUUCCAGUCCAUCCAGCUCCUGAGUUUGCCAUAGGUACCGUGUUGAAACAGCUAUUGGCGUCGGGCUUAUUAUUGUAAACUAAUGCUUCUGGUUCGUUGACGAUUUCCCAAGCUCCUAGUGCUGGAUGAGCUGCAAGUGCUUUCACCAUGGGCUAAUAAUUAAGAAAGAAUGUUUUUUUUUUUACUAUGCGUCGAAUAAUUAUAGUCAUUAACUAAUACAUGGCUAUUAACUAGUACAUGGCCAUUGAAGAAAUCGAAAAAGUAAUAUUUACCGUCAAAGCCUUGUCAAGAUAAGUCUGAAGUUUACUUUUAUCCCAGUACAGAUUGAUGGAAUUCUGAUUUCUAAGAGUGGCGCCGUUCCACAAGACAAAAAUAACUAGAAUAUUUCUUGCUUUGGCGGAAUCCAGGAAUGAUUUCAUGUCGGAAAUCAGCGUUCCAGUCUUAUCUGGACCCAGGACAUAGCCGUUUGCGUCGUAAUUUGGAGUAUUAUCGCCUUCCACAUGAAGCCAAACACCUAUAAACAAUGCAUCGUGAAUUAUAACUCUGAAAAUUUUUUUUGAGUAACUUACGAACGCUGUUUCCUCCAUUUGUUGCCACCUCAGCUAACCAUUGCUCGAAAGUAGUUUUUGAGUUGGCCGUGUACUUACCGUUUCCAAAGUCGUACCCAUAAGAGUUCCACGCAAAGUUGACACCUGAAAGGAAAACGGAUUUUCCGUUGAACAUGAGUUUGGUUCCGCUUACCGAAAGACGACUGGCUCGAGUCAAUUCUAGAGCGGAGACAAACAAAAUAA